rnacentral:rRNA from 1 species
CAUGUAGGCGGUUUUUAAGUCUGGAGUGAAAAUGCGGGGCUCAACCCCGUAUGGCUCUGGAUACUGGAAGACUUGAGUGCAGGAGAGGAAAGGGGAAUUCCCAGUGUAGCGGUGAAAUGCGUAGAUAUUGGGAGGAACACCAGUGGCGAAGGCGGCUUACUGGACGGUAACUGACGUUGAGGCUCGAAAGCGUGGGGAGCAACA